ensembl:lncRNA
CCCUCAGCGACGCUGCCUGCGGAGACCGACGGGGUGAGGAGCACCCAAAACAGACAGAUUGCGCUGGGAGCCCACAAGGGCCCGCCAACAAUGGACUGUGUGUUCUCCCGGGGCGGAUCACACCCGCUCCCAGCUCAUAAAGGCCCUUUAUAUAACUCCACUCAGGCGGGGCCUGGGCGGGGCAGCUGCAGGAGGUCCCACACCCGGGCCGGCACAGGCCUGGCAGCCCGUGGGCCGCCUCCCACACCCAGGGCUGUCCCCUCCGGGAGCCACCGCCUCCACCAGGGCACUUCCCCGGCAGCUCCCGUCCAGAUCUGGGAUUCAGACUCCCGUGGGCCACAGGCCAAGGCAGGAGAAAGGGUGGCACCUCGUGAUGGGAGUGGUCUGUCCAGGGGCCCCUUUUCCAGAGAACCAUGGCCUCCUACUCUUGAGUGCUUUCCUGGCCACGAAUGAUGCAGGUCCGGAUGCCAGCAUCCUGACCGACUGCACACGCUGCAGUGAAAUUCAGUGUCACCGGGAAAGCCUCCUGUGGAAGCUGGGCCGUCUGCACAGGGCUUCCCUGGCCCAGGGCAAGGACAGCCGCAGACUGCGUAACUCCAGCUGCUAAGGCAGACUCCAGAAGCUCAGCUGCCCUCCGCGCCGAGGCCGCAGUGCUGUGCAGAAGUGCACCUGGCUGCACACACUGAAGAGCAACCGGCACCGAAACACAGCGUGCUGAGGGCUGACCUCCACUCAGGAGCGAAGAGAGCGAACAAACCCCCAUGUCAGUUGGCAGAGCCUGGGCCACCUACACGUUCCGAACCUCUCGGGGCCUCAGUGUCUCUCGGUGUAUAUUUGGAAUUAAAGAUGGGCGAGACCAAAAUAUGAAACAAGGGAGCCCACCCUAGAGAAACAACCACCACUGCAGACCCCAGCGGGCUACUGUGACGUACACCGGCUUCUCUUCCUAGCGAGCCAGAAUCAUUCUGAGAGACCAGCGAUGAAGCCCACCCGGCAUACACCGCUCUGAACCCGGGAAGCGGGCAGGCUCGUCCUGCAAGUACUUAGUCCCAACGCUCACGUAUUUUACCCAGCCAACUGCUCAUUUUGCUGCGUGAACUUGCCUGUCCAACCGGAGAGUGCGCUUCUCUGUCCUCAGCAGGAGAUGGCGACAGAGCUCCACCCCAGUCCCUGAAGACUGGCUAAAAAGCAGGAACGGGAAAAAGCGAAAAGGAAGGGAAAGGAGGAGUGGAGGGAUCAGAAAUGACUUCUGUCAACAAACUCUUAGGAAGGGAGAAAUAAAACCACUGGUUUCAGUCUUUAGAACUGAGCUCUCAUUCUAGCCCAUUGAGAAGCACAAGAGGACAAAAUGCAGAAAAACCCCUGACAUCCAAAUUUGCAACAAAUAAGUGGGAGAUACAGAAUCUAUUCCUAAUCUUAAGCCCAGAUAAAACACCACUGACUUGUUAGCCGUCUACCGUGAGCCGUGAGUUGUUCUUAGGGUUUCUCUGCAGACCCUGGGCAAGCAAACCUCUCAGCAAUGCCCCCACUUCUGUGCUCAGAGCUCUGUCUUCUGUUUAAAAGGAGCGUCCAGGAACAGGGUCUCCUGGUCCCCGGCCCCAGCUGAGUAGAGCCGGUGCUCAUGAAAAUUCCUCUCCCACUGGGGAAGCCACAGCCACUUGCCCCAG